rnacentral:lncRNA from 1 species
CUUCACAACACUUGUGGAAGACAAAUAGCACAACACACAUAGCACAUACAAAUAAAUACAAAAUGAAUAUACUACAAUCAGCUGUCAGAGAUAAGAGGUGCCCGUGAGACCUUCAGAUAAUUCAGCCUUUGAAGUCUGCUCUUAGCCAUUACAAAAGCCUGCCUGGCCAGCUCAUCUAGUUAAAGCACUUCCCUCUUUCCCCUCUCUGCUUGGUUUCAGGAGCUGUGGUUUUGCAGAAGCCGGGAGCUCCAAGAGCACUCAUGGUUUCAUCAGACCUUGAGAAACAUCUGAUACACUGAAAUGACAGCACACCUCAGAUAACAAGAGUUCAGACUGGGCCUGGGCCUGUCAUUUAUAGACACCAUUUUAAAUGAUGCUUCAACCUAUACUUGGUUUAUUUAACAACCUAUACUUGGUUUAUUUAACAGUCUAACUUGUUAACACUUUUCCGUAUAUCUUCUCAUCCUCAUGACAGGGUCAUAUCCCAGACUGCUUGUCCUGCUGUUCUUCGGAGAAUUAUGAUGGGGGAGGAAGGGAAGACGUGCAGAUGUAGUAAUCGUAAGAUUCCCCAUGUGUCAGACCUGGAGUAUGAUUACCUCAUUAAUAAUCAGAUGCCCUCCAAGGAGCAGAUCAUAGUGGUCUGUGUCUCUACUUCUUCUUCACAAAUGAACAAGGAUCCUAGUGAAGACAAAUUAGAGCAGCUCUAUGAAAGAAAAAACAAGAACAGAAGUAUGCCUUGUGCUCAGGGUUGUCUGGAUUCCUUUCGCCUCCUCAAAUAUGACAUCAUYUCUGCAGAUGCAUAUACAGAUCAUAAAGGUUCUUUACUGGUAGAGAGACAUAACGUAGCUCCUGGCAUGUUUUUGGUACGUGAAAACUAUUAUAGCUGGUUAUUAACUUCUAGUGUUAUUACUAUGAUCUGGUUACAAAUGAGUGACUUUGGGAUUGACACAUGUUAUGUCUAUUUUGACCAGCCAGAGAGCAGAAUGGUAGUAGUCUUUCUUCAGGAGUACAGACUGUUGUCACAGCAGCCCCAGCUCUCCAUUAUCUAUUAACAAUUCAGGACUUAUAGUGCAUCAGCCCAUUUUGAUUCCACCUUGCAAAUAGCAAGUACCACAUUCUACUUGCCACAGCGCUAGUAAAGGAACAUUAUUUCUUCCUUUGGAAUUCAGUGGUUAGAUCCAGCUCUGUGCAACUAAACACAUUUCUGCUUCAUCUGUGGCAAAAAGUUAUGAAGCAUAUCACACAACAGUAUGUUUCAGUCUU